CUUGCUUGUGCUCUCUCUGUCUCUCUCAAAAAUGAAUACACAUUUUUUUUUCAUUAAAAAAAAUUUAAGUGGAUUAUUUCACUUAAACCAUUCUUUCAACACUUGUUUGCACACGCCCGAAAUGCCAGCAAGGUUCUAGGUGCUGUGAGAUAGCGGUGGACAAAAGAGACAAAGUCCCAUGGAGAAACAAAGGGCGAUUUAUACACACAGUGCAAUAUUAUUCAGCCUUAAAGAAGAAGGAAACCCUGUCACGUGCCGCCACAUGGAUGGAUGCUGGGGACAGACGCUAAGUGAAAUAAUCCAGGCACAAACAGACGAACACUGUAUGAUCCCACUCACAUGAGAAAGACCAAGUGCCUGCUCUCGAGGGGUCCAUGUUCUAGAGGAGACGUCUCUAGUCCGGCGGCUGCACCGGACUUGGGGUUCAGAGUGAUGAUCUCAUGCUCUGUACAGCCCUCCUUGCUGAGGCUCCCGCACGGAUGAGUGAAGUACACGCCCAUAUUCACCUUGGGCGCCAGCCGGGGGUACACGCUGACACCCUGAGGGGUCCUUGAACUAUCACACAGCCAUGCUGCAGCCUGCUUCUCCGAUGCCGCUGGGCACAGAGCUACCAGCCCCAGGGAUUCUGCCCACUUCCUUCGUCCCCUGGGGGCACAUCAGCCCAGGAUGUCUUCCUGAUGGCUCCCGGACCACAAGAGGUGGGUUGGGUUCAGAGCGGACAGGUGGCCACUUGAAAUGUAGCCAUUCCUGUGCUGACGGGCCCCUGUCAUCCUUCCAGAAGCCGUCUUCCCGUUGGGAUGCUGCCCAACCCCUCUUCAUAGUUGUCCCUCCUAUCACCCCGGGAAAUUCCACUUUUAGGGCUCUUGAUUUUUAAAGCUGAGCCUGGAACACUGCUUUGGCUAGAUCUCUUUUAUCUGAGUGAUGCCUUCUGAGGGAAGAAGCAGGAGUUUUAGACCCUAAAGACCCAAGAAAGCCCGGGUGGGGUUUUUCCACUUCCCUUGCAGCUCCGUUUUGUCUCCUGCCCCUACACAGCAGUGAUCGCCAUCUGCCUGUGGGCACCAGCCUGAGACAGACGCUAGGGUCCAGGGAGGGAGGUGGACAUCACAUGUCAUGUAGCCCCCUCCGAUUUUGUGGCACACUGGGGCAGUUGGGGUAAUCCUGCCUGGGGAGCAGAGGCCAUCUCGCCAAGUGUCCUGACUCAUCACUGCUCUGUAGGAUGGCUCUUUCACGGAAAAGUUCUGCACUGAGAUCAUCUUUGGUUUGGGACCCGGCUGUCAGGUCUGGA